CUGGAUGAAACCACAUGCUUCGAGAAUUCAGCACACGUGAAAGUAAAAUACCAGAUCUUCAGCACAUUCCUCCUGCGCUUUACACAGACCCCAACGAGAUCGCGCAGCAUUUACCCCUGAAACUCACCGAGUGUGAGAAGCUGCAGCUCCCGGAGACGCCGGCGGGAACAUCACAGUCUCCACUGCGGCGGGAGUGAACACCGGAAGUAAAGACUCGUUCACCCUCGCUAUGAUCACAUCUGAAACUGUCCUGUAGAGUCUCAUCCUGUAACUUUCAUGAGGUGCAGAAUGUCUGCUUUGUAAUGUAAUGCUUGUUUGAUCUGUUUGUCAUUGGAGAAGAUUUUAUUAAAACGCUUUAAAUGAUUUCACUGGA